rnacentral:lncRNA from 1 species
GGAACGGUGGAAGGAACUGUACAACAACGUUAAUAAAACAGUGUCACAAAGUUGGAACGCUUCAAUAUUCAAAGCGAUCAAGAUCUUUGAUUCCACAGCUAAUUAACACAUCUUUAAUUAAACCUUAAACCCAAACUAAUCCGCGUCGUCUACUUUCCCACACCUCCACAGCUAAAUCAAACAUAAACACCUACGAGGCUACGACUAAAUAAUGAUAAUAAUAAUAACAAAAUAAUGAGACGAUUCAGUUUGAACGCAUCCUAAUAAUCUUUGCUGCCUCGUCUUGAAUGUUGAAUCUUUCUCAUCUUUCUCCAUUUCCAUGGUCUUCCUUCUUCCUUCUUCCUUCUUCUCCUUUGACGCCGUGAAUUUUCCACCAUCCCGCG